CAGUCAAAAGUUAUUUGUUAACUCAUUAUCCUAUUAAUCAUUAUCAAUAAUCCAUCGUUGAUAAUAAGGAAAAACAAAGGAAAUGAAGUUUAAUUACUUCUACUUUUAUAAAAGUCUUAAUUUAGUUGUUCUAUAAUCUCUAUAUAUACAUCUAUAAAACAGUAAAAAGGUCUAUAUAAUAAAGGUGCAGAUGGCAAGGGAUUUUCUCAUUCUUGCCUGGGGCGGUCCAACACAAGAAAGCUGAGGGCACAGAGGCGGUGGAAGUACUCCGUGAUGGCCAGGAAACACCGUGCAGCUUGACGGGUGGUCAGGAGCUGCUGGAGCCGAUGAAUGGUUUGGUGCCUCAGAUGAUCAGUCUGUAGGUCAAUUUAAUUUUUAAUUGAUCAUGACAAAUUGUAAGACUUAACAACUCAUCAUGCCUGAAUGUUGACGUUGAAGGUUUGAUAUAUCAUUAUGUAAACAUUUCUAGGUUGACAUGAUUUAAAUAAGAAAACUUGUGCUGAUACC